AACUUUCAACAACGGAUCUCUUGGCUCUCGCAUUGAUGAAGAACGCAGCGAAAUGCGAUAAGUAAUGUGAAUUGCAGAAUUCAGUGAAUCAUCGAAUCUUUGAACGCACAUAGCGCCCUUUGGUAUUCCUUAGGGCAUACCUGUUCGAGCGUCA
rnacentral:rRNA from 1 species